UCGGCAGUUCCUCCCCUCAUCGGCUUCGCGCGUGUAAGCAUGUCCAAGAGUUUUACCGCGUUGUCGCCGUCCUCCUGGACCUCUUUCCCUCUCCGUAAAACCCCUCACGGACGCUCGCCGCUGAACGCCCAUGGGAGCACAGUGCGUCGGCCGUCGUCUUCCUCCUCGUCUCUUCCUCCCUGCGCCUCCGUUGGCCGCCUCUACCCCGUGAGAGUCUCCCAUGUGCCUCCCUCGUCCCCUGCCUUCAAGCCAAGGCACGAGCACACGCGUCCGUGGCGUCGGCCACCCGUCCGGGGCGACGACAACUCGGCCUCCUCGCCCUGUGGCUAUAUAAGCCCACCCCGAGGCCUCCUGGUCGACCCCAGUUCUUCGCCUCACUCUCCUACCCCUCCCUAGCCUCUCAUCCGAGCUCGAGAAGCUCUCUUGCCGCCCCUCUGUCGCCAUGGCCAUCGCCUCGGUCCUCCUAAAUUGGAGCGAACUCGAGCCCCUCUCUUGCUCCUACCACCACCAGUAGACCGCCCCCACUCCGGCGACCAUCCCCAGGUCCUUUCCCCCUCGCCGGAGCCACUAUGGCUUCGAGUCCCGUCUCCACCCGAAGCCCCCUCCGCCGGAGUGCUUGUUGCUCUCAACACCGCCCUCCUCGAGGUCCGUUCUGUCCUGGAACGGGCCGGCCUCGUCGCCCUGAGCACGUGGGUAGGUAGAACGCCGCCUACGGUGGCCGGAAACGCCAGCGCUCGUCGUCGGAGCCGCGCCGCUGCUCUGCUCCGGCGGGCACGCGCGAGGAGGAAGAAGGAGCCAGGCCAGGCGGGCCUUCUCCUUUCCCCGACCCCACCUGGCAGCCACUCAGGCCCGGCCCCGCCCCUGCAUGCGUUAACCCGGGCGGCCAGCGCAGAUAAGUGACGGGCCCCACCCCGUGGGACCCGCACGUCAGCGACCCUAGCCCCGGAACCGCGCGCGUUUAGGUGGAAGCGUACUUCAGAAAGUACGUUUUUGCGUGAACUCAGGGGCCUGUUUGUAGAGUUAUGUUACAGAUUGGUCCCUAAACUUCGUCGGGCUAUAACUUUCUACUCCCAACUCCAAAUGAGCCCCUCCGAGAGAGAACGUUUUUCCGGCGAUUCUUUCCGCGAGCU